AGUAGAAGAAGAAGUUCACCUCGCGGGAUCAGGGCAGUGGGAAGCGCCGCGGACUUAUCUUCGUUGGAAACAGUUUCUUAUUUCGUGAUUGUGCGGGCUUCAAGUAUCUUACAGACAACGUGUUUCGAGUAAAACUACACCAGUCUGUGUGUGGAUUUCUACAGGCAGGUGGUAAAGCAGUCAAGAUAUAAACUGUUUCGAGGAAGGCUGCCAGGCUUUUAGGUUAAUCACCAUGAGUUACGGUAGGCCUCCGCCGGACGUCGACGGCAUGACUUCCCUAAAAGUGGACAAUCUCACCUACCGAACAUCGCCCGAAACCCUCAGACGUGUAUUCGAGAAGUAUGGCCGGGUAGGGGACGUCUACAUUCCCCGAGACCGCUACACCAAAGAAAGCCGGGGGUUCGCUUUUGUUCGGUUCCACGAUAAACGGGACGCCGAAGAUGCGAUGGACGCCAUGGACGGUGCGCUCCUGGAUGGACGGGAGCUGCGCGUCCAGAUGGCCCGGUAUGGAAGACCCCCAGAUUCCCACUACGGUGGAGGGCGGCGUGGAGGACCCACGCGGAGGUACGGGGGUUCUGGACGGCGAAGCAGAAGCUCUUCCCCCAGCCCAAGACACAGAAGACGCAGCAGAUCCCGCAGCAGGAGCCGCUCUCGUUCUCGGAGCCGAUCCCGCUCCAGCAGAUCUAGGUCCCGUUCCUACUCCAGAUCGAAGUCCCACUCUCCCAGGAGCAAGAAGACCAAGGCCAAGUCCCAAUCCCGCUCCAGAUCCAGGUCCAGGUCCAAGUCCAAGUCCAAGUCCAAGUCUAGGUCCAGAAGCCGUACCCCUUCCUCCAAAAGAGGGUCCAGGUCUAGGUCUAAAAGCCAGCCCAAGUCAGCAGCAGAAAAUGGAGGUGAAUCCCCAUAGAGCUCAGCACAACAGCAGCAGCUGCGGCAUCCUGUUUGCUAAAGUGGAGUGUGAGCUGAGCUGAGGCAGUAUGAGCAGUUAGGUGGGUGGUGAGCUGCCCACAGGCUGCCUGCUGCUGGUGAGGGUUUCUGUGCAGCAUAGCGGAGGCAGUCAGUGUUGGGGUUUGGUGUUGAGUUUCAGGUGACAACCUCAGAACUUCUCAGACAGGAUCCCACACAAGCAACAGUGUCCAGCUGUAAAAGGUUAUUAUUGUGUCUUCCAUGCUUUGGUCUGUUUUAUUCAUUUCGCCUUAGGAAGGCUUUUUUCAUGACAUCGAUGUGCUGUGAUUUUUAUUUCCUUUUCAUAACAUGUUUUAUGAUUUUGAAAACGUUUUUAACGUGGAGGAGAAUUUGUGUUCAGACAGCUUUUUAGAUGAGUUCAGGACAUAAAUGUGCUGCAUUGGUCUAGGUUGCACCUGUCCUUUCAGUUCUCCUCUCUGCAGCCUGUAUCAUGAAGCGAGUUCACCUGUGUCUAGCUUUCUUUGGGUUUCCUGGCCUUGCUAAGCCUGACAUUCCUGGUCUUUGAUAACUGGUGUCAUAACUAAUUUCAUAAUUACAAUCCAAUCACAGGCAGCAUCACAGAUACUGUAUGAGAAUAUAACUUUCAUUCAGGUAAAAGAUAUACAAUAAUUACUGGAUGAAUGUUAUAAGUCUUUAUUAUAUUCCCCUGAACUGCAGUGACUUUCGAUCAUUCUGGUUACUUUUCUUCCUGAUGUUUUAAACCCAAACUGGACAAAUGUUGUGUUAUAUGUUCUGAUUAUUUUAUCUUUGGAAUAUAUAAUUAUCUGAGUUUAUUGUCUCAAUCUAAUCACUGUAAAAUGCCAGAAAAUAGUUAAAGUGCCCAGUACAAUUCCUAAAGCUCAAGGUGACAGCUUCAAGUGUCUUUUGUCUUGUUCGAUCAAUAGUCCAGAAUCCAAAGAUUCAGUUUACUCUGACGUAAAAUAGAAGAAAGUAGCAAGUUUCUGAGAUUUUCUUAUUUGACAUCAAAACAUUUUGUUUUCUUGUUGUUGUCAUUUUGUUGCAUCCAUCCAUAUCCAGAUAUUGUGAAGAUGUAGAAUUUUUUUUUUUUUUUUUUUGGUUUAGUUUAGUCAUGGAAGUUUACUGUAUUAUAGUAAGUGAAUCGGCUUUAUGAUGCUGGAAAGCCUGAGUUAAGCCCAAAGUUAGCUGGCUAGCACAUUCAUCUCACUGGCAUCACAUCCAAAGUGACAUAAACUACAGUAAACAUGAAGACCUUUUGCUUUUAUUUACAUUUUUCUACAUGAAAUUUUUCCUUACGAUCUUUAAUUGCUGCAGCUCAGGGUGUCUUUGUUAGGCAUGACAGCAGUGUGUGUGUUAACCCCUGUGUUGAAUAUGGUUACACAUGAUACACAGUAAAAUGAUUGGGGGUGUAAAAUUUGGGUUAAAGUCAUCAAUUUGAAGAAUGUGUCUGGUCAGCGGAGGGUCUUCACAGAUUUUAACGUAUAAUUCAUCUUGUUUAUAUCAUUUAAUUUUACAGGACAUCAUUUACUGGACUCUAGACACCGUCUUGUUUUUCAUUUUUUGAUCCUAAUCCUGCUUGUAUGUUUUUUUUUUUUGUGCACUAGGCGCAGUUGUGUAGCAGUUGAGUAUUGCUGGUUAGCUGUUAAGGUGGCAUGUUGCUCUGCUGAGUGCUUGGAUGUAUCCAGUAUUCUCCAGAAAGCUCCUGUGACUACCAGUGGUACAGUCGCUACAGUCUCACCCUUUGUACAAUGAAAUGUUUUUUCCCCAUGUGGUCAUGGUAGAUAAAUGUGACUUUGAUUAAAGAUCUGGUGUUUUCACUA